AGUCCUCACCUCCCACAUGCUUUUCAUCACCCGCUCUCACAUCCCAUCUGGGGCCUCUGCUUCCAUCCUACCAUUUCGCAAGCCUGGCCAACUCAAGCUCCGUGUGCUGCACCUAGAGCAGCCCAUCUCUGUGUCAGGAGCAUUCAAGGAGGAAUGGCUUCAUGAUGGCAAUGAGCGGCAUCGCCUGAAAGACAGCCUUCGAGAGUCUCCCAGAGCCGCUGAGGAGCAAGGCAGAGAACUGCAAUCCAAGCAAAUGUGGUGGGUGUGAAGCUUUCAAGAAGUUGGGUCAAGAACAAGGACUGAAAGAGGAGCAUCAAUUUAUGGGGGCCACUGAGGCUUUCAGAGAUUUUGUGACCUACCAAACUGGCACAGCUAGUAAAUGGAUGACAAGCCAUUAACAUGGAAAGAAGAAGAGGCAUCCAAAGUGUUGGGUCCGCAUCGCCCUUGCCUUGGAGGAAGCUCCAAAUAGAGGGAAGGAUGGUUUCCAGCAGUCCCUGAAGUGCCUUUCCUCCUUCGUGGGAUCCAGUUACACCCAGCAGACUUCAGUUUGAAUAAACAGAACUAGAUGAAUACACCUAGGGAAUCUGUGAGGCCAGCCUCAGCUUUUAACAUCCAGCUACAGGGAGCUUCAUUCACAGGCUCUCGCUCACCGGGAGAUUAACCCGCCAGGCUGCUGAGUGAGAGGGGACAGAGUAGGCCCUGACGGGAGGCCUGGGACGCAGGGGAAAUCAAAACAAGUCCACCUGCUUAAGGAGACUGCCGCACUGUGACCUCGUCCUCCGGACAUCUGUGGCAAGUGUUACCGCAGCCACUGAUGUGGCGCACUGGGCCAUUUACAGCUGCCUCAUGAUAUUCUUUUUCACGACUGUGUUUACACUAUUGUUUAACAACUUUGUAUAACAAUCUCUUUUCACUCCAAAUAAACCUUAGUGCCUGGAAGGCCAAGAGUAUCUUCAGUAUGUGUCUAUCCUAGUAAGCUUCUCAAAUGAUACAGAAUUUUUCGUUUUUUUUAAAAAUUUCCAACCUCUCAUGUGCCAAUACUUUUGUAUAAUCAAAAUGAUUAGAAAAAUGAACAUGGACUAGGAUGCCUUAGUAGUGUCAAAUGACUAUAAAUGUGUCUAAAUGCUUAAUGUAAAUUUCUUGUCAUAGACCAGUAACACACAGUUUGCUAACUGGCACGGGUCUGUGGACCUCAUUUGAUUAUCAUUAAACCAGAACAACUAGAAUGCCUGGUACAAUAGGGAGCAAAGAAUAUCUUCUCAAUAUGGAACUGCUGAUUGAAUAUGUGUAUGAAUUAUAACAUAUAUACACAUAUUACAAUGUACACAUAUGGAAUACAUUCACACCAAAUACUGGUAUAUGCACAUACGUUCAAUCAAAUUAUACUUUAUACCAUAACAUAUGUGUAAAUAAGAAGAUGGGGUUUACAAAAGGAAGACCUAUACUUAGGUUUUUAAAAAAGUGCAUUAGGUAACGAGUUGGCACCAUGACGCUCUCUAUGGAAAGGUAUAGGUGGAUGAGGAAGAAUGACUGAGCAGUGCUUCUCCUGUGCUCCAUGCUGUAAUUCUCCAAGCUCUGUGUGGGACUGGUGUUCACACCCAUAUUUACCCAAGAGGCAGUGAAGCUCACUGAGGCUACGCGAUUUGCCAAGGUCACGCUGCUAUUUAGUGAUGGAGAUGGGAUUCAGGUACAGGACUGUCCGGCUCCACAGCCUGCGUUCUAUGGCACCACAUUGUUCAGUGGUGUCACAGGGAGCUAUGCUUUGUUCAUAUGACACACAGUACAAAGAGAAUGGCUGUGUUCCUACCUCCACCUCCAAGCAAAGACCACCAUAAAAUAAUCACAAGGGGCUGGCCUGGGUAGGUUUUGAGUGAGAAGAAGUCCAACUGAUGAACUUCUAGGAAAAGUUUACUCCCUCCUAAGAAAAAAGCAUGGAGAAAAGAUGACCCCCUUCUUCUGCUGGGGAUUGAAACAUCGGGAUAGGAUGGCCAGGACAUCCCUCAGUCAUCUUUUUUUUUGAUUAUACUUUAAGUUUUAGGGUAUGUGUGCACAACGUGCAGGUUAGUUACAUAUGUAUACAUGUGCCAUAUUGUAGACCCAGUUUGAGGAUGGUGUUGCACACUGGGAAAGGCAGCACACCAAGAUAACCACAAAGAAACAGAGGAAGUACAUUACCCUGAGGGGGUACAGGCUUUGCAUUUAAAGAGAGAGAAGGCUACUUUCAGGCUUCGGCAUAACCAAACAGUGCUCCGUAAGAGUUAAGUUUUUUUUUGUGUUUUUUUUUUUUUUUUUGAGAUGCAGUCUUGUUCUGUCGCCCAGGCUGGAGUGCAGUGGCGCCAUCUCAGCUCACUGCAAGCUCCACUUCCCGGGUUCAUGCCAUUCUCCUGCCUCAGCCUCCUGAGUAGCUAGGACUAUAGGCGCCUGCCACCACGUC
rnacentral:lncRNA from 10 species